rnacentral:lncRNA from 1 species
CACGGGAAACUUUGCCUCAAAACCACCAAAUUCACGAAGACUAACACAGGUAUGAGCAGGGUGCGAUAAUCGUGCCAAGAAAAAUACUAAUCUAACCCACAGACGAGCGGAUACACGGUCCAUAUUAUUCAAGACAAAUGGCUUCUUUGAUGGCACCCUCCUUGUAAUUAAACGAAAAGCCACUGCAGGGACGGUUCUCACUUGGCGCUGGCGAGCUGGGUGCGGAUGAGCUUGGCGGCAGAGACCAUGUUGGUUAGGGCGGGCUUGACCUCCGUGUACUUGCGGGUCUUGAGACCACAGUCAGGGUUCACCCAGAGGAUGUUGGUUUCGAGCACCGCAAGCAUCUUGUUGAUGCGGUCGGCAAUCUCCUCAGUGGAUGGGAUCCUGGGGGAGUGGAUGUCGUAGACACCAGGGCCAAUGCCGGCGCCGUACUUCACACCCUCACGGAAGACGGAGAGGAGCUUCUCAUCGGACCGUGAGUUCUCAAUGGUGAUCACAUCAGCGUCCAUGUUGAUGAUGGAGUGGAUGAUGUCGUUGAAGUUGGAGUAGCACAUGUGGGUGUGGAUCUGUCAAGAGAUAAAGUCAGUUGGAAAGUCAAAGGGCAUGGUAUGAAGAUAUGACACUGCAAGGCUCCACAGCACAGUUCGAAAGCAUACCUGGGUGGUGUCCUUGAUCUCGCAGUUGGUGAUUCUGAAAGAGUGAACAGCCCAGUCCAAGUAGAAAGCGUGCUCAGUCUUGCGGAGUGGCAGACCUUCUCUUAAAGCAGCCUCGUCAAUUUGGAUGACCUGCAAAGAAUAAUGAUGAAAUAAAUGAGCAACCAUAAACUGUGCAUAAACCUCUUGAUUAAAUGACAAACCAGAAUGUAAAAGUGCCAACCUGAAUACCAGCAGCCUCAAGAUCCUCAACCUCCUUCUUGAUUGCAAGAGCAAUCUGGUAGCAGGUCUCAAACCUGGAAGAUAUAAGCCAUAAGUCAGCCUCUAAACGGAAGAGGAAAAAAGAUGUUCUCGACAGCAUAAACUCCUGUCAAAAGUUACUGACCUUGGCUGGUCAUUCCUGACAAAGGACCAGUUAAGGAUUGUGACAGGACCAGUCAACAUUCCCUUCAUUGGGCGAGAUGUCAUGCUCUGGGCAGUGGUCGACCAGAAAACGGUCAUGGGGUUGGGGCGGCUCACAUCACCAUAGAUGAUCGGUGGCUUGACACACCUUGAUCCAUAGGAUUGCACCCAACCAUUGGCAGUGAAUGCAAAACCAGAGAGCUGCUCACCGAAGUACUCAACCAUAUCGUUUCUCUGUAAAACAUACGCCAACAGAAUUACUUAAAUGUGAGCACAGCAGCGCAGAAUAACUGAAUUUUUCUACAUAUGAGAUCAUAUUUAUUUUCUCAAACGCACAGCAAAAGCUAGCAGAAUAGCUUAAAGAGAACUGACCUCAGGCUCGCCAUGCACAAGCACAUCGAUGUCGAGCUCCUCUUGGAGCUUAACAACCUUGUUGAUUUCCUCCUUGAUGGCAGUGACAUACUCCUCCUCAGAGAUCCUGCAAUGCAUAUUUCCAAUAAGCAAAGCCGCCAACAUAGAGACAAGUGAAGCAUUAGAAUUAACUGUUACUCACUUCUUCGCCUUGUACUCACGGCGGACCCUCCUGAGCUCCACAGUCUGUGGGAACGAACCAAUUGUGGUUGUGGGAAGGACUGGAAGGUUCAGCUUCUUCUGCUGAGCAUCCAAUCUAGCACUAACGUUGGUAGCACGGCGGUGGUCAGAGCCCUUGAGAGCAGCAGCCUGUAACAGUAUAGAGAAAAAGGUUGGUGAGUGCCAACAUUGGAUUAGAAUGUGCAAGUAGAUUAGUCCCAGGUACUUACAGCCUUCUGAACUUCUUCAUUUGUCACACGGGGUGAUGACUUCCUUGACGCCUGAGCGGCAGCGUUUGCCGCAAAGUAAGCCUGUAGAUGACAUUUGCCAAAAUAAAUAGGGUCAGCAUAAUUUUGUAUGAAGAAGAAACCCUCAAGGUCCAGUUAAGAGAACAGAGAGAAAAAAACAGACAUACCUCAUCCUUUUGACCAGCCAAUGCUUUGGCAAGAGCAUCAACCUCAACCACCUUCUGAGCAGCAAAAGCAAGCCAAGACUUAAUUUCAGCAUCAAGCUUAGUCUCGUUCACAAGAUCCACAGCAGUGUGCAUGAGUGAGCAAGAAGUUGACACAACAAGCUUGUCUGAACAAAAUAGUAGGCAUUUAUCAGAUAUCGCCAGUUGUAACUAAAUCCAGCUUUAUGCCAGAGGAAAGCAUAUGCUUACCCUUUCCAACAACAGCCUCAAGGGACUGGAGAGUGCUGAGGGAUGCAGCAAGAUCAUCAGCCCAGAUGUUGCGCCCAUCCACAACACCAGCAAAGAGGUACUUGCCAGCCGGGAAACUACUCUUGACAAGAUCAAGAGUCUGGGCUCCACGAACAAGGUCAAAACCAUAAGCAGUAACACCGCUCAAAGAUGUAAGGGUCCUGCAUGCAAAAGGACAAUCAGUAUCCUGCCAAUACAAAAGGUGAUCAAGGAAAAAAGAAUAGUUGAGAAAAAGGUGCACUAGGAUUUAAUAACGUACUUGUAUGAUUCUGCGGGAACAUCAGCAAAGUAAGUCUCAAUAAGCACAUUCAAUCCAGAAAGGGCGGACUCAAGUUCUGUGUAUGCAGCGGAGAAUGCAGCCAAUUUUUGAGAAUCAAGGUCAAGGACAAGGGUGGGCUCAUCAAACUGAAUCCAUGAAGCACCAGCUGCCUUCAACUCAGCAAUGACCUCCCUACAACCAUCAUGCAUCAGUUUAUCAAUUUAAGACUUGAUGCCAGCAGUAAUUAGUAACUUGCUUAUAAUCUUAAUCUUACUUGUAGACAGGGAGGAUGCCACUAAGAAGGGAAAGAAGAGGGAAUCCCUUCUCCACACCCUUGGCAGCCUUCGAGAGCAACAAGUAUGAGACUGGUCCAGUAAGUACUGGCACGGUAUCAACGCCAAGCUGCACAAAAAGCAGCAAAAUAUAAGCCAUACAUGCAAGCAGACAUUAUCUUCGCAAAAUAACAAAAAAGAAAACAAUGAAAGGAACAGAUGAGACCAUAUUGUCGCAGAUCUACAAUAUAACAAUUUAGCAUUGCAUUAAUAUGUUUAAAACACUCUUAAUUGCAUUCUUUGGUGAAUUAAGUAUUUUUUUAAAAACAAGGCGCAUUGGCAAAUUAAUAACGCAUUUUGUAUCAAUGCUCAAGUUCAAACAUGAACUACAAAGUUUAAAAAUACUUAGUUCGCCAAAUACCAGGUUGACCUGACAAUAAUAAUCUCAUCCCAGUUUAUGUGCUAAUACAAAAUUAGUAAUUAAAUGCAGGUUCAAAAAUGCUUGAUCACUAUUAAUUUAAGGUUCUAUAGCAGAAGGCAGCAUACUAAACUAAUGGAUGAAUUUAUAGGCUAAUUACAAUGUCAAUACAGGAAUUGUUUAAAUACCAGUCAAGUAUGCAUUUAGAGACUUUAUAUUAGGAGAAUAGUUUGACACAAUAAAUGAGGCAACAGAAACAUAAUGAUAGUAUCAUACCGCCUUAGCCUCCUUGUAUUCAUUAACAGCCUUGUGGGAAGAGUAGGUGAACUUGGUGUUAGGGCCCAAUUCAGGGACAAUAAAGUGGCUGCAAAAGUAGAACAAAGUUUGUUAGGAAAAAUAAAAAGAAAAAGCUGAACUGGAAAUUACUGUUGGUAGAAGCCAAAGGACUUACUAGUUGGUGUCAAACCACUUGGUCAUCUCCAUAGCAGGGACAGUGGCAUUGCCCCUAGCCAUCGAGAAGUAGGUGUCAAACCCAAUCUCUCCUCCGGUCCAUGAGUAGCGCUCUGGGACAGCGCCGAGCAUGGCGGUGGUGUCAAGGACCUGGUCAUAGUAGGAGAAGGUGUUGCUGGGGAUGUACUUGAUC